GACGAACGCUGGCGGCGUGCUUAACACAUGCAAGUCGAGCGGUAAGGCCCCUUCGGGGGUACACGAGCGGCGAACGGGUGAGUGACACGUGAGUAACCUGCCCCAUUCAUCGGAAUAACCAGUGGAAACGCUGGCUAAUGCCGAAUAUGACCAUCGAGCGCAUGCUCUGGUGGUGGAAAGCUCCGGCGGAGUGGGAUGUCAGCUUGUUGGUGAGGUAAUGGCUCACCAAGGCGACGACGGGUAGCCGGCCUGAGAGGGUGACCGGCCACACUGGGACUGGGACACGGCCCAGACUCCUACGGGAGGCAGCAGUGGGGAAUAUUGCACAAUGGGGGAAACCCUGAUGCAGCAACGCCGCGUGAGUGAUGACGGCCUUCGGGUUGUAAAGCUCUGUCUUCAGGGACGAUAAUGACGGUACCUGAGGAGGAAGCCACGGCUAACUACGUGCCAGCCGCCGCAGUAACAC
rnacentral:rRNA from 1 species